GGUAAAAAAGCUCGUAGUUGGAUUUCUGUUGAGAACGACCGGUCCACACAACGUGUGCGCAUCUGGUUCGGUCUCGGCAUCCUCUCGAAAGACGACUCUGCGCUUGAUUGCGUGGAUCGGAUUCCGGGACUUUUACUUUGAGGAAAUUAGAGUGUUCACGGCAGGCUAUCGCCAGGAUACAUUAGCAUGGAAUAAUACUAUAGGAUCUUGAUCCUAUUUUGUUGGUUUCUAGGAGCAAGAUAAUGAUUAAUAGGGACAAUUGGGGGCAUUCGUAUCAACACGUCAGAGGUGGAAUUCUUGGAUUGUGUUGCGACGAACUACUGCGAAAGCAUUUGCCAAGGAUGUUUUCAUUGAUCAAGAACGAAAGUUAGGGGAUCGAAGACGAUUAGAUACCGUCGUAGUCUUAACCAUAAACUAUGCCAACUAGAGAUGGGACAUCGUUCACAUACGACUUGUUCCGCACCUUAUGAGAUAUCAAAGUCUUUGGGUUCCGGGGGGAGUAUGGUCGCAAGUCUGAAACUUAAAGGAAUUGACGGAAGGGCACCACCAGGAGUGGAGCCUGCGGCUUAAUUUGACUCAACACGGGGAAACUCACCAGGUCCAGACAUAAUAAGGAUUGACAGAUUGAUAGCUCUUUCUUGAUUUUAUGGGUGGUGGUGCAUGGCCGUUCUUAGUUCGUGGAGUGAUUUGUCUGCUUAAUUGCGUUAACGA
rnacentral:rRNA from 1 species